UGAUGACUGAUUCCUAGUGAAAGCUAAACUUAGAGCAAUUUUACUUGAUGUUUUCAUUUCUAACGUGCCUUAAAUAUAAUUUAAAGGGAAGAGUGAACAUUUUGGAGAAUUGGAAAAUAGUAUCUAAUGUAAAAUAUUGUUAAGUUCAGUUUAUUAUGCCCUAGAUGGAACUUUCUGGUAAAGACAGGUCUCCAUCCUGCCGACAUGUACCAGCCCAAGAACUUCAUUCGGAACAUUUGACUUCUUGGUCUUCCCUUUGGCCGGGUCAGGAAUUGAGCAUCAAAUCAAGACUUUGAAAGACCACAAUCAUUCAGAGCAAGUGUAAGCUGUUUUUCAGGAGCGUCUGGAAGAUUGGAAGGCAUUUGGCCUUGUGCUCUGAGGAACUUCCGUGCAUGUCCUGAAUGUCUUGUGAAGGGAUUGGAGGCUAAUUGUAGAGCUCGUGUUGAUGGGACUAUUGUGAGUUUUACCAAAUGGUGUGGUGUGUGCAAAACUGGAGAAUUGAAAAUGUCUCUUCUGCUGGGGCUGCUUCCUCUUCAUACUCACGAAGUGGGCACAGAUGAGAGAGGAAAGGUGAGUGAGUAGCGAUGGGGAAUACACCGGGUUCAGUCAAUAGAGAAACAGAACUGCAGUGACUUAGGGAAGGAGGAUGGUAUAGUUCAAUCCAGAUGUUUUACGACAUGGAAGAGGAGAUCCAGCGGUCACACAGCCUGUGAGUGGCAGAAGUAGCCAUUGAGGUCUCAGCUCCAAUGUCAACUCCUCAGAGAGGCCUUCCCUCAUGUUUUAGCCACCAUUGUCCCU
rnacentral:lncRNA from 1 species